CUGAGGGACAUGUUUUGUGGGCAUGCUGGUGAUUAUGGUUGGACUGGGUCAUCUUAGAUCUUAGGGUGGUCUUUUCCAAUCAUAAUGGUUCUAUGAUUACUGCAGGGAAAGAGGAACCUUUUUUUUUUUUUUUCCUCAUUAAUUGCUUUCAUCUCAAAUGAACCCCACUUUGCUUGGUCAGUAGAAAGGCUAAUUUUAACCAAACCAAAAAAAAAUACGCUGAUGUAAAACUGGUUGAACUCAAACAAAUUCAGAACAAAACCACAAUCGUAGGCAGCAUUUAAAUUAAAAGCUACCCACUUUCCCCACCACGGUAACCCUUGCAGAUGUGCAAGUGAAUAACUUCUUAUUUUGGGGAUAGUCAAACAAACUCAAAUUUACAGGAAAGUCCCUCUGAUAUAUGUAAACCAGCAAGCACUUAAAGAUACAGCAUUUACUGCCUCCCCAGUCACAGAUGACAGUAUUUCCAACAUACACUGGAGUAACACAAAGUAGAAAUAAAAUGACACUUUCAGCCAUCCUCAGUCUUUGGCUGAAGUAGUCAAGCUGACGAAAGAACGCCCAGCUUUAUCCAGGAAGGUUUUACAUGAGGUAGUCUCUACUUCAUCUAUCUGUUAAUUAGAUGAUUGCUCACGCAUUCUGUGAAUUUGGGGCAAUCUCUUACAUAAUCCAGUAGACAAAUGGUUUGAACAUUGAAUCUGGACAAAAAAAAGCUCUGCAAUUUUAAAUGGUACUCACCAAUAUUCACGUUAGUGAUGCCUUCGUACACAGUUCUCCCAUAUCUGUCACUCACUUCUAUAGAAUAUAUGCCACUGUCACUAAUCUGAAUUUUGUCUAGUCAGAAACUGUAAUUAGACACAACCUCAGACCUGUUAACAUAUUCCCAAUGGCACCGAAACCAAGAACCAUUUAUCCAAGCUACUUCUGUAUUUUCCUUUUUCCAGACUACUUGGAAGAACUGUUUCAGCAUCAUCUCAGUUAGCUUCAAGAAUAUGGAUCCACCAAUAAAUCCUGUGAUUUCUUUAGAUCUUUCCACUCACGAGAGGAGAAAAAUGUAUGUUCAUUACUGUGGUAUUUGACAUGCCGUAGAGUGACCACAAGCAGGAAUAUUCUUGUUAUAUCUUCCUAAUUGGGAACGUUCUUUGCUCUGAUGGAAAUAUCAGCCCAAAAAUCAAUACAGAGAGAUAUGUUAUAAUACUGUCUUAAUAACCUAACUUGCAGUAAGACAGCUUUUUCCCCACUCUACUAAUGCUUCUUCCAUUCCAUCUGCAUACACAGCUUUUUCAUCACUACACCAAGGUUGGUCCAAUAGCGGGUAAACUAUAGGUUAGCGGCACUCUAUCCAGCCUUAAAACUUUAAUUGAUACUAAAAACAUUAAUGAGUUAUCUGCACAAGACAAAUAAAUCAAGGGUAGCCACUUCAUAUUUUGCAUCUCCAUUACAGUCUCAGCUCCUUACUGCAGCUCACAUGGACAAACUUAGGUUAGUGGUAACAUACCAGGAUGUUGUAGUGGCACAGAGCUUUGGGUGGGCUGCAAAACUUGCUGGUGAGGCUGCACACUACUUAGCUCACACUGAGCUCUACCUCUGCAGGGGUAAAGGGCAUAUAUUGAAAAUAUGUUAUCAAAAAUGCACAGCACACUCAAACUUACUGCUCAGUUUCACGCAAAUGCAAGCCAUCCUUAUCACAUCCUUCUGCCACGUACUCUCCCU
rnacentral:lncRNA from 1 species